rnacentral:lncRNA from 1 species
UUUUUGGUGGACAUAGAUUUUCAACUCAUUUGGACAAACAAAGCAGCAUGAUUGUUGGAAUAUAAGAAAUACAACUCACAAAAUGGCGGCACUCUGCAGGGCUGGGCCCCCGGAAUUAAUUCCCCAGCUCACCCAACGGAGCUUCAAGAAAUUCAAUUACAAUUUAAGUUUUCCCACCUUGGUACUGGCUCCCGUGGACAUAUUCAGGAAGGAGACCUGCUUGCCAAUGAGAACCCAGAAAUCAGUCUCCAUCUGUCCCCGAGCUGUUGUGCAAUGAGAGGUUCAGACCCCUUGCUCUGGUUGGCCUGAAAGCUGUGUUCAAGUAUUUUUCUUGAGAACAGGACUUUUCUCACUCUCAUAUGUAGUUUGAGAUCCUGGGUCUGGGGGACACCUGGAAUCAAGCAGCCUUUCCACUAGUUCUUCACUUGGAUGGGAGCACUCUCCCUAGGUGUCUGCAUGGCCAGCUCCCCUACAUCCUUUUUCCUCUAAGCCUUUACUGAAAUUUCACCUUCUCAAUAGGCUACGCCAUUGCAACCCACCCCAUGCCCACCCCUCAGCAUUCUCAACCUCCUUUGCUCUAUUUUUCAUAGUUCUUAUCACUUUCUUUUUGUCUUUGUUUUUUCUGCAGUUUCAAUAUGAUAACGCCUAGUUAUAGC